CUCCCUUCCCCAAACUUUAUAAUUAUACCGCUACUUUCGUCUUAACCCCUUCUUUCUUCCAGCCAACCUAAAACUACGUGACAACACCUUCACCCACUAGACCAACCACGGGUUCCAUUCAUCUUUUACGUUCAUGAGGUCAAUUCUAUUGAUCGGUUCAUAUGAGCUCCAUUGGACACUAACAUACUGCAGUUCGACAAAUAUAAAAGAUGAGUAAGCUUUCAAUCUCAUGUCUGUUUGUCUUCUACCCAUAGUAUAUGAUCAAGGUUUGGGAUUCCUGAGCAAGAACAAAUUGACAUCUUUUAUUAAGAUUUACAUACUUGGAUUGAUUAGAUAGUGUGGUAAAAUUAUUGAUGUUUUUUUCCAUUGCUUUCAGUGUAUAUAUGUGCCCAACUGUCCAUACUCUGGGUUGCCUGUGUUCUUUGGGUAUGUACUUACACAAAUUCAGAUAAAGGAAAAAGAAGCACGGAUGAUUAAGAUUUUAGAGCGGAAUGAUGUGAGAUGUAUAUAUGUACACAUAAUAUCUUGUUCAUAAAUUUAUGUGUUAGGCAUUCUCAAGAGAGAUACGCUACUAAAUGUUGAUUCUUUGAUUUGAUUUUCAAGCUCUUUCUGUUAUUGCGGAGUCUUGGGUUCUAUCUUAGAGCUUUAUUGUUAAUGGGUUUUAUUGAAAUUUUGAGUUUAAGUCAUAGAUGAUUCUUUUUGUUGAGUUUGCAGAAAAUGAUCCUGUUAUUUGAAACCCUUACGGAGUUUGGUAUUCUUAAAGUGUUGGUGAGGGGAAGCUCUCCAAAGUUGACGUGAUUAAUGAUUUAUGUUCUUUGUUGUGGUCGGUUUUUACAAUAUUUUAUGUAAUUUAAUUCUUGUUUAAAUUUAUUUGGUUUUGGAGUAUCUUGGGGCAUGUUGUGUGUCAGGUUUUUUAUGUUCCAAUACUGAGUUUGAUACUGUUGACGCAGCUCGAAAGAUUUUUAAUCUCCCUUUUGUGUUCUUGUCUCUCCUAUUUUUUGUUGUGUGUGUGUGUUGAUUGAAGUGCGGCUUAGCUUGUUUUGCAACAAUUUUUUUUUGUGUAUAGAGUUUUUUCACAUUUAUUUAUUUAAAGUGAUAUGUUAUAUGUGCAUACAACAUUUUGCCUAAUUUUGGUACUUGAGAGAAGUUAUUUUUGGGAUUGAUAUUGUGCUUCAAACUCUUAAUGCAUUUCUUUAUUUUAUAAUCAGAAUGUGAAUUUAAAAUUGCGUCUUCCAUGUCAUAGUCAUAUCCCAUUUGGUAAAUAUUUUUGUGGGAUGAAUUUUUUCACCAAUUGCAUAUACUUUUGGUUUGGGUCAUAAUAUUUGUACGCGUUUGUUUGCUAUAAUAUUUGGAAAAAAGACCAAGUAGCUUGCAGUAUAAAAUGUAUUUUGUUGCCUAUAUCACUAUACUUAAUUGUCUUGUCAUAUUCAAACUCUCCACAAGGUGGAUAUAAUGAUCAUACAAGCCACUAGUUUAUUGGAUGAUCUUGAUAAAAAGCUUAACUCCUAUAUAUGCUAAGCGAGUUUGGGAAUGAUAUGGUUGGCAUUUCCGGAGCUUGUAAAAAUUGUACAGGAUAACAUACUAUAUUCAAAGUCUGUGGAGCUGAUGGAUGAUCGUGCAAAUGCUGCGAAGCUUGAUUUUUCAGAGGAUUAUAGGAGAAGCUGCAUUUCAGUCUUCAGUGCUAUCUGCAUCACCAAGGUCUUGUUACGUUGCACCAGAAAAUGGAUACUGUAAAGCUACAUAACAAACGGACACAUACAACUUUGGUGUAAUGCUGUUAGAACUGGUGACAAGCGGGGGAGCUUAUGAACAUAUAUAAUCAUGGGACGGAGAGUUUUUGGACAUUGUUAGUAAAAUCAACAAAACUAAUGAAGCAAUCCAAGUAGUUGAUCCUAAGAUCUCAAACUCAUCCUUCUAGCAAACAAUAUUAUGAGCUAUAGAUAUUGUGGCCAGAUGUGCAUCUGUGGCAUCAGAGAAGAGACCCCCAAUAUGUGAGGUUGUGACGGCUUUGCAGAGUUUUUUUUUCAACUUCUCUCCUUUCCGAUAGUGUUCCUGCUUCGCGUGGAGUGUUUGAUAUGAUCCACGUUCAACUUUUGGGCAAUGAGUAUGAAUUGUUGCACUUUGUACAUACACGGUAAAUUGAGCUUGGAGAGAAAAUAUGAAGCCAGUAAAAAAAAUUGGUCAGACUUGGCUUGAGGAGGAAAAGAAACAUGUAGAAUAGUAAUAAUGUGUUUGGAAAUGUAUCUCUUUAUUCUCUCCCAUGCAUAUAUAAUCAUACAAGUAAAACGUGCAAGAUGAUCCUUCUAUAGCAUUUAAAACUUGCAGAAAACUAAUAGGUUGGUGAGAAGUGUACCAUUUGAUUACGUUUGAGCACAUUAUGUUCUUUCUAUGAGCCUAAAAAUAUUUUUAUUUUAUA